UACAAUAUGUCGUGUUAUUUAUAAAAUUAUGGAAUGGUAGAAAUAUAUACUAAUGCUAUUCCUUCUCCUUUCAGAUAAAAACUUUGUUAUGAGAUCCCUUCAGGGACAGAUAUUCACCUUUAUAUUUCAUCACUUCCAGCACUACGUGAAGUCAAAAUAAAGGACUACCACUUAUGGACUUUAACUGAUCUUUUAUUAUGUUCUUUUUGAUGGGCAUUUUUGAUAAAAAUAUUUUCACUAAAUUUUUCUACUAAACAGGUUUUUACUGCAAUAUCUUUUAACAUUGUCCUUUUUAACUGCAUUUUCCACUAUGAAAUUUUAUAUCAGUGUAUUGUUAAUUGGCACCUGGAUGCAUAUUUUUUCACUUUAACAUUGCAUUUUAAAUGGCAUCUUGAUAUGUAAAAAUCUUUUUCAAUGCAAAGUACUUUUUUCACAGCAAUGCUUGUUAAAUAUGCUAAUUUGUUAAUUGCACACCCUUUAAAUCAUGUCUGCACUUGUCCACACUAUGCUUGACAAAGGGGCGUGACCCCGAAACGUUGCACUACUGCAUAAUAAAAUUGCAAGGGCUUGCCCUGCUACUACAA